rnacentral:tRNA from 1 species
UGGGAAGUGGCUCAGUGGUAGAGCACUUGCCUAGCAUGUGUGAGGUCCUGGGUUCUAUCCCCAGCACCACUG